AUUCGACUAAGCCAUGCGAGUCGAGAGGGUUCGGCCCUCGGCGAACUGCUCAGUAACACGUGGAUAAUUUGCCCUUAGGUGGGGGAUAACCUCGGGAAACUGAGAAUAAUACUCCAUAGAUCUAGGAUGCUGGAAUGCACUUAGAUUAAAAGCUCCGGCGCCUAAGGAUAAGUCUGCGGACUAUCAGGUUGUAGUCAGGGUAAAGACCUGACUAGCCUACAACGGAUACGGGUUGUGAGAGCAAUAACCCGGAGACGAUAUCUGAGACACGAUAUCGGGCCCUACGGGGCGCAGCAGGCGCGAAACCUUCGCACUGUGCGAAAGCGCGAUGAGGGGAUCCCAAGUGCUUGCUCGUAAGAGUAAGCUGUUUUUAUGUCUAAAAAGCAUAGAGAGUAAGGGCUGGGUAAGACGGGUGCCAGCCGCCGCGGUAAUACCUGCAGCUCAAGUGGUGAUCAUUAUUAUUGGGCCUAAAACGUCCGUAGCCGGUUUGGUAAAUGCCUGGGUAAAUCGUGUAGCUUAACUAUACGAAUUCCGGGUAGACUGCCAAACUUGAGACCGGGAGAGGCUAGAGGUACUCCUGGGGUAGAGGUGAAAUUCUGUAAUCCUAG
rnacentral:rRNA from 1 species